AUUGCCCUAGUAACGGCGAGUGAAGCGGCAACAGCUCAAAUUUGAAAUCUGGCCUUCGGGUCCGAGUUGUAAUUUGUAGAGGAUGCUUUUGGUGAGGUGCCUUCCGAGUUCCCUGGAACGGGACGCCAUAGAGGGUGAGAGCCCCGUCUGGUUGGACACCGAUCCUCUGUAAAGCUCCUUCGACGAGUCGAGUAGUUUGGGAAUGCUGCUCUAAAUGGGAGGUAUAUGUCUUCUAAAGCUAAAUAUUGGCCAGAGACCGAUAGCGCACAAGUAGAGUGAUCGAAAGAUGAAAAGCACUUUGAAAAGAGAGUUAAAAAGUACGUGAAAUUGUUGAAAGGGAAGCGCUCAUGACCAGACUUGGGCUUGGUUGAUCAUCCAGGGUUCUCCCUGGUGCACUCUUCCAGUUCAGGCCAGCAUCAGUUCGCUGUGGGGGAUAAAGGCUUUGGGAAUGUGGCUCCUUCGGGAGUGUUAUAGCCCAUUGUGUAAUACCCUGUGGUGGACUGAGGUUCGCGCAUUCGCAAGGAUGCUGGCGUAAUGGUCAUCAGCGACCCGUCUUGAAACACGGACCAAGGAGUCGUCUUCGUAUGCGAGUGUUCGGGUGUUAAACCCCUACGCGUAAUGAAAGUGAACGCAGGUGAGAGCUUCGGCGCAUCAUCGACCGAUCCUGAUGUUCUCGGAUGGAUUUGAGUAAGAGCAUACGGGGCCGGACCCGAAAGAAGGUGAACUAUGCCUGUAUAGGGUGAAGCCAGAGGAAACUCUGGUGGAGGCUCGCAGCGGUUCUGACGUGCAAAUCGAUCGUCAAAUAUGGGCAUGGGGGCGAAAGACUAAU
rnacentral:rRNA from 1 species